rnacentral:rRNA from 1 species
AUACGGCCCAGACUCCUACGGGAGGCAGCAGUGGGGAAUAUUGCACAAUGGGCGCAAGCCUGAUGCAGCGACGCCGCGUGCGGGAUGACGGCCUUCGGGUUGUAAACCGCUUUUGACUGGGAGCAAGCCCUUCGGGGUGAGUGUACCUUUCGAAUAAGCACCGGCUAACUACGUGCCAGCAGCCGCGGUAAUACGUAGGGUGCAAGCGUUAUCCGGAAUUAUUGGGCGUAAAGGGCUCGUAGGCGGUUCGUCGCGUCCGGUGUGAAAGUCCAUCGCUUAACGGUGGAUCCGCGCCGGGUACGGGCGGGCUUGAGUGCGGUAGGGGAGACUGGAAUUCCCGGUGUAACGGUGGAAUGUGUAGAUAUCGGGAAGAACACCAAUGGCGAAGGCAGGUCUCUGGGCCGUCACUGACGCUGAGGAGCGAAAGCGUGGGGAGCGAACAGGAUUAGAUACCCUGGUAGUCCACGCCGUAAACGGUGGAUGCUGGAUGUGGGGACCAUUCCACGGUCUCCGUGUCGGAGCCAACGCGUUAAGCAUCCCGCCUGGGGAGUACGGCCGCAAGGCUAAAACUCAAAGAAAUUGACGGGGGCCCGCACAAGCGGCGGAGCAUGCGGAUUAAUUCGAUGCAACGCGAAGAACCUUACCUGGGCUUGACAUGUUCCCGACAGCCCCAGAGAUGGGGCCUCCCUUCGGGGCGGGUUCACAGGUGGUGCAUGGUCGUCGUCAGCUCGUGUCGUGAGAUGUUGGGUUAAGUCCCGCAACGAGCGCAACCCUCGCCCUGUGUUGCCAGCACGUCGUGGUGGGAACUCACGGGGGACCGCCGGGGUCAACUCGGAGGAAGGUGGGGAUGACGUCAGAUCAUCAUGCCCCUUACGUCCAGGGCUUCACGCAUGCUACAAUGGCCGGUACAACGGGAUGCGACACCGCGAGGUGGAGCGGAUCCCUUAAAACCGGUCUCAGUUCGGAUUGGAGUCUGCAACCCGACUCCAUGAAGGCGGAGUCGCUAGUAAUCGCGGAUCAGCAACGCCGCGGUGAAUGCGUUCCCGGGCCUUGUACACACCGCCCGUCAAGUCAUGAAAGUGGGUAGCACCCGAAGCCGGUGGCCCAACCUUUUGGGGGGAGCCGUCUAAGGUGAGACUCGUGAUUGGGACUAAGUCGUAACAAGGUAGCCGUACCGGUAGGUGCGGCUG